rnacentral:lncRNA from 1 species
GCAGUGCCUGGGGAGUGGCUUGGCAGUGGCUGUUAUUGUUUUUACUAUUAAUAAUUUUUUUUGGUAUAUUUUAUUAACGCGCUUUCCGAGUGGCGCCGCUCUUCUCUUCCUGCGGAUUGAGGUGUGGAAAUACGGCCAAGCCGGGAGCUGGGCCUCUGCGGAAUGAAGGAGCUGACAAGGCGCUGGGUCCCCGGGAGAGCGGGACAGCUCAGGGCCCACCGCGGGUCCGGUCACCAGCAUCGCCAGCAGCUUGCCGAAGGUCGGGACUUCAGCUGUGCCAGAUCCCGGAGACAGAGGGGGAAGGGGCCGGGUUUGGUGUCCGUGCCGCGCUCUCUGAGCCUGACCCCUUCUAUUCGGUGACUGCUGCAGGUGAUGAGCAGAAGCGAAGACUAAACGCCGCGGCGUGGGUGCUCCAGCCGCUGAGCCAUCACGGCAUCUCCUUCCUCGUCCCCCGCUCGUAUUGUCCAGGGAGGAAUGCCUCGCUGAAAGACCGAUGGGUGCCUGUGAGCAGUUCUUUUCUCGGUGCUUAGGGUACUCUUGAAUGAUAGAAGAGCUUUCGGCCUCAGGAGGCUUUGAAAUCAGACCCGGCUUUUCUGUGCGGUGCUCUAACCACUGAACUGCGCCAAAGAGGUGAGAACGACACAAAGACAAAUCCCACGAUGCGAGUUCGGGACUCGUCUGCCCUUCUGGAGGGAAUGGGCUUUUGUUUUCGGAUCCUCGUCGACGGAGACAGUUGCCUUGAGGCGGCCGAUGUGGAGCUGCUGUGCGGUACUUUCCAUCCUGGGAAGGUGGGGCUGGAAGGUUCUUUCCAUCCUGUGUGGCAGGAGCGAUUCUGCCGGAGCUGCUGCAGCUUCUCCUUCUCUUGCCAAUUCUCCGUGCCUGGUCUCCAAGUGUAACUGGAGUAAUGAUCUAAUUUCAGUGCGGGUCUAAACAGAGCAUUCCAAACACCCCUCGAAAAGUCUGUGUGUUUCUCCACUCGCUAAAGAACAAUAGGAGAAGGACCUUUUGAUUUGUGUUUGCCACUGGGCUGUACUUGCUUUUCUAAGAGUGCAGUCCAUGAGCUCUGAACUUGGGGUGUAGAAACACGUGUUAUUAUUUUUCAAGACUUUAACCAGGCUCUCGUCCAUUCCUGCCAAAUGAAGGAGGCUCAAAGUAACGCUCAGGCACUUGGUGGGCUUUCAGGAUGUUAAGAUUAGUCGUUUAUACUGAUUUUUUCCUACAGAUCCUCACUGUGGAUCACCACUCCGCACGUCUUGCUGCUUAGUCAGAAGCACUGAGAAUGCUCUGAGGCUGACCAAAGCUGAAAUAGCUAAACCAAGCCUUCCACCAACUCGUGUGCUUUUUGCAUUUCUGCUUUUUCUUAUGACCGUUGUGUGUUCCCCUUAUAGGUGCAGGGGGUAUAAAAGGCAUCUGUGGUAGUAAUGCAACGCUGCAGUGCCUAAGGAUUCUCCAAUAUCACCUCCUACCCCACUGCUACUCAGGUAGUAGCUGAAUUUCAUCAGUGUGAGAAUCCCGCAUGGACUGGAUCCGAUUAAUCAAGAAACAACUCUUCCUGUAGGUGAUCUUGGAGUCUUUGACUCUGUCUUCGAGUUUAGAAACAUUUUUAUUUCCAUCUAAGCUCAGCUAUUUGGCUUAUAUGGUUGUGGAACCAUUUAGUGAAGCUGCUACUUGAUGGAUAUGAAAAUUAUACAGACAGGUGUUCAGACCAAAAUAAAAAAGGACACCGGGUCCUAUGUCCUCGACGUCAGUGCUUGUCACCUCAUUAACAGCUGUUUUACUGAUUUAAAAUAUCCUGCUACAUUUAACAUACAGCAAUCCUAACUUAGUACGGCUCUUAAGAUACUUGUAGAUCAAAUUUGCUGACAUCGACAUUACAUUUUCACCUCCAUGAACACGGCAUGAAAUACCUCUCCAGAGAAGACCUACUUAUUCCAGGUAAGUGAAUUAAUUUAGGCAACAGGUAAGUAGGGGGAAAACCCUCAAUCAACUGAAACAAACUCACCACAAAAAUAAAAACAAAACCAACGGAACAAACAAAAACCCAAAACAUAACCAGACUAAAAACCCAAACAAACAAAAAAGAAACCCUAACCAAAAAACAAAAUCUGUCCUGCUUAAACACCUCUUGUCCUGGAUUCACAUGGAGCAAACAUGAUUGAUUUGUUGAUAGAAGAUCAUCCCCAGCAUCUCUUCCCAUCCGUGAGUCAAGACAGUGACCUCUACCCGAACUACUCUAUUUCCUUUUGCUACAGAGAUUAAAACAAACUGCCAGAAAAUUCCAGGAAAUUCAUGAGUUUGUGAACAUGUCUCCAGAUCAACCUGACAAAAAUUAUGUUGUGCAGGAUUUUCUUGCCAGUCCUCUGUUAUGCAAUAGGAUCAAUUCUGUUGCCUGCACCUGGAAGAAGUUAACAAAUGCUGUUCUACUUGAUAGAUUUGCCUGUGUCUGUUUACCUGGUGAGUGUGAAUCUGCAAACCUAGUCUAAGGAAGAGUAGAACAAAAUUCGCGUGGGUAUUAGGAAUGAGAAAAUUAUGUGCUAAUGGAUUUAAUAAACUCAAGUCCUCGGUGGCAGCAGUGCCUGCCCGAGGCUCCUUUUGCUGUUUACCGUGGGCUGCUCCCCUCGACAGAAGCACUGGAGAGGAGGACCACUCUUUAUCUUCAAAGCCUAGUUCCACCAGGUUUUGGGAUAUGAAAUAUAAAUGGUCUGAAUGCCUUCCUCGAGGAGAAAACCCUGUUGCUGGUUGUGAUACGAAAAUACAGAAAGCCUGACUGCCCACAGCAGCAAGUUUCCAUAUGAACUGGAGGCACUGCGAAGAUCAAUAAAGCAGGAACAUAAGCAGAAAAGCAGGAAGCUUGUUCCUCAUCUGGAGAGAUGAAAGUCGGCAGGAAAGAGGAAGGGGACUCUUGCCAAAAGACAAGUCCACACUCCAUGUCAAGAGUGAUGUGAUCAUACGAAAAAUUAGUUAAAGAGACAAAGUGGAGGAGAGGAGAGGAGAGGAGACUAUGACAAAGAGGAGAAGGAAGAAACAAUGCAGAAAUAAACGAGAAGUGGAGAAAUAAAAGGAAAGAGAGAAAACUGAAGAAACCAUAUCCUAUUUUAGUGACAUGUCAUUGAUGGUAUCACUGCACACAAAAAGAAAAGAAGGUGAGAAAGUAAGAAAGAAAGGAGGCAAAAAAAGAUUACAAAGAAAAGAAAAUAGGGUGAAGCCCUAAAUUACAAAAGUACACCAAGUAUAUAGCAGAAGAAUACAGGAAUAAAGGAGAAAGCUAAGAAGAAAUAUAUAUCCGUAAAUUAGCAAAGAAGAAAGGACGGAGAGAAACAGACGAGGUGACCAACACGCACCGAAAUUACCUCUAGAUGUGGUCCCUAAAAACGUCAGGCUUGCGGAGAGCACCGCGUCCAGCGCUGAUGUCCGUAAUUAGUGAUGAUCGCUCCUGUUUGAUGAUGUCCACCGCGGCGCCGGAGGCAACGAACGAUCUACCAGGAAGGCUAAGGAAGAGAGAAGGAUUGAAAAAUAAGGGAAUGAGGAGUAGACGAUAGGGCAUGACAAGGCAAGGACGAAAAUGACAACAAA